rnacentral:lncRNA from 1 species
AAACUUGGCCUUUUUUCCUUCCUUUGGAAGAUGUCUUGGUUCAAGGAUCAAUGCUUGUGAUAAGUGGGUUGAGUGUUCUCCAAAGGAUUACUUAAGAAAAAAAAAGCAAUACUAACAUCUAAUUCAUUAACAACUAACAUUUACUUUCAAGUUAUUUACUUUAAUGCACUUUAUUUUUAAGCCCUAUUCAUUUGCCAUUAUUCAUAUCAUUCUAAUUGUUUAUGUUAGUGUCAUUUUCACUUUGUC